rnacentral:rRNA from 1 species
UCUGGUUGAUCCUGCCAGUAGUCAUACGCUUGUCUUAAAGAUUAAGCCAUGCAUGUCUAAGUGCAAUGAUUAUUCAACAUUAGACUGCAGAUGGCUCAUUAUAACAGUUAUAGUUUAUUUGAGUUUCGUGUUAUGUGGAUAACCGUGGUAAUUCUAGAGCUAAUACAUGCCAAGGUUUUUAUACUGUUCAGUAUAGAGAGCAUUUAUUUGAUUCCAAAUCAAGAGGCUUCGGCUUUCUCAGUGAAUUAUAGUAACUUUUCAGAACGCUAUUUGCGGCAUAUCAUUCAAGUUUCUGACCUAUCAGUUAGUUAGUAAUGUAUUGGACUACUGAGGCAUUGACGGGUAACGGAGAAUUAGGGUUCUAUUCCGGAGAGGGAGCCUGAGACACGGCUACUACAUCUAAGGAAGGCAGCAGGCGCGUAAAUUACCCAAUUUUGACAUAGAGAGGUAGUGACAAGAAAUCACAAUAUUUCGCCUUAGGGUUAAAUAAUUGUAUUGAGAACAGGCUAUUCAUGUUAUCGAUAAACUAUUGGAGGGCAAGUCUGGUGCCAGCAGCCGCGGUAAUUCCAGCUCCAAUAGUGUAUGCUAACAUUGUUGCAGUUAAAAAGCUCGUAGUUGGAUUUUUAAGAGUAUCAAUUUUGUGUGGUCUUUGAACUGCAACAGAAGAUGAUUUUUCUUAUUUUGUGCUUGUACAUUGUUGGAAUUCGUUUUCUGAUAUUGGUGUAGGUAUGUGUUUACUUUGAGAAAAUUAGAGUGUUCUAUGCAGUUUAUUGAUAUUAUAUUAUAGCAUGGAAUAAUACCUAAUGACUUCGGUUAUUUUUUUGUUGGUUUGGGAGGCUGAUGUAAUGAUAUAUAGAGUUAGUCGGAGAUAUCAGUAUUUUGUCGUUAGAGGUGAAAUUCUAGGAUCGACAAAAGGCUAUCAAUUGCGAAGGCAUUUGUCUAGGAUAUGCUCUUUGAUCAAGAACGUAAGUUGGGGGAUCGAAGACGAUCAGAUACCGUCGUAGUCUCAACUAUAAACUAUAUCAGCUAGGGGUUGGCAAAUGUUUAUUUGACUUUGUUAGAACCUUAAGAGAAAUCAAAGCGUUUCGGUUCCGGGGGGAGUAUGGUCGCAAGGCUGAAACUUAAAGGAAUUGACGGAAGGGCACCACAAGUUGUGGAUCCUGUGGCUUAAUUUGACUCAACACUGGAAAACUUACCAGGUCCAGACAUAGGAAGGAUUGACAGAUUGAUAGCUCUUUCUUGAUUCUAUGGGUGGUGGU